AGAAUACGUAAGUAAGAUAGAGAAAAACUAUCGACAUUAUAAACAUAUUGUAAUGUUAACUUGUUAGAAUAGGAGAGGCGAAUACCCAAUAUUUCAAGAAGAAUAAACGAAAAGCGCAGUUUAUUUUGGAUUUUACAGAGAGAAAACGAAAGAGGUUAACAAGGAGAAAAAGAAAUCAUUUGGACCAUCAUCCGUGCAGCAACCAAAUAAUGGAGUAUGUUUAAAAUUAUUAAAGUUAAAUAGUGUAUAUUUAAUUCAAAUAUUUGUUAUAGAUUGUGCAUUUUAUUAUUAAAUAAAGAGAAAUAAUAAAAAAACUGAGUUUUAUUUAAAAGAAUUAAAUUUGCUAGAUGUAACAAAUGGGUAACAGAUAAUCUUGUUACUGCUUGUUCUUCCUAACAUGCUUAUAUGUUAAAGGUAACAAACUGAUAACCAAAAUAAUAACACUAACAGAUAUUCGGGUAACAAAUACUUUUUGUUAUCCAUAACACAUGGGUAAGCUAAGCGCUAACAAAAUAAUUUGUUACCCGUAACAUACUGUGAAGUGAUUUGCUAACAAAUGUGUGUAUUCUGUUAGAACAAGGCAGCAUGCGAUAUUUGCCAUUGGUUAGAGCGAGAUAACCAUUGAACAUCAAAUAGCUAUGUGUUACUUUUUUCCCACUCUCUGAACAAAAGUAACAAAUAUUUUAACGAAUGCAAAAGUGAACAAUAACAAUUCGCUUACACGUUCGCUAACAGCUACCCGUCUUGCAGGGUAAAGUUUAUGGCACACUAACUGUCAAAUCUAUUGCCGUUGCCAAAUCUGUAUUGAGCACUUGUUAUCAUAACAUAAUCACUUGCAAAAAGACGUGGGGUAGGUAGAUUCGAGCUGAUGUAGCGCAUGUUUUGAGCUCUUGAACUGUUUAAAUUUUUAUAUCGAUGAAAACAAAUUUAUGUAGUAAAUAAAGAAAAGAGGGGUAUUAGAUGAGUGAGGUUGGUAGGGUAUGCAAAGAGGUGGCCCGUGUCAUGCGGAGAAUCAUUAGAUGCAGGACAUACUUAUAUUGGAUAUGUCGGGGUCUAUUCUGGACAAGUAGGAAUUUAACGUCUUACAGUAUCCAGAACGAAGCUGCGCAAGGGUCACUCGCGUUUCUCGCGGCAACUCAAGCUCUUCGUCUGCGAUGGGGG